UGCCUUCUGCCAACUUUUAUGAAACAAUUACAGAAUAAUUUGUAAAGGAGAGCAAAAUCCCAGACCCUGACAGUUCUAUUGGUGGAUUCAAACAUUCAGAGAAUAAAGAACAGUUUCAUACAAACGCUUUCUGAAAACAGAGUUUCCUGAUUUAGGUGACAGAGAUGCCUAGUGAGCAAAUACCAGGGCGUGGCAAGAAGAUGCGAGCUGGCCACCAGAUGUUCUGAGGCAGCAGAAAAUAGCAAAGGGAGAAAAGAGAGCAACAGAACAACAAAAAACAUGGAAAAGGAAGCACAGCAGCUGAAGAAGAAGGAACAAACCAGAAUUAACGUGAAACUUCCAUCACACACGUUCUUCAAAUGUCAAAGUGCCGCCUCCAUGCCCAGCAUGGAGCCCAACGCGGGGCUUGAACUCCCAACCCUGAGAUCAA